UACGUAGGGGGCAAGCGUUGUCCGGAAUCAUUGGGCGUAAAGCGCGUGUAGGCGGCUUCGUAAGUCCGUUGUGAAAGUCCAGGGCUCAACCCUGGAAUGCCGAUGGAUACUGCGGAGCUAGAGUCCGGAAGAGGCGAGUGGAAUUCCUGGUGUAGCGGUGAAAUGCGCAGAUAUCAGGAAGAACACCCGUGGCGAAAGCGGCUCUCUGGAACGGUACUGACGCUGAGACGCGAAAGCGUGGGGAGCGAACAGG
rnacentral:rRNA from 1 species